rnacentral:lncRNA from 1 species
GAGGAAAGUAGAAGAGAUCAAGGCAGAGUUAUUUGGUCAUGGAAGAACAACUGACUUGUCCAAGAUCCCUCAGCAAGCAAGUUGCCUUCCUUUGGGUAGACUCUGGUUUGUCUGUGUUUUUCUUAAAAUAAGGUGUCCUGAAUUAGAUGAAACACAAUUUCACUUCUGAUCUGACCAGCAUGAAGUAUAUUCAGUAAUUCUCUUUCUGUCAAUGUACUGUGAGAUCUUUAAUGGUCACAGCAUAAUUGGGCAUUAAAAAAAACCAUGUACUGCUUUCAAAACUUAAAGCUGUAGGAAAAAAGCAAAGCAAAACAAACCAAACAAAAACCAUGAACUGCUGCCAAGAUUCCUAUUCUCAUUUCUUGUAUCUAUAUAAUACUUUUUUAAAAAUCUUCUUAUUUUUGAGACAGAGUCUCACUUUAUUGCCCAGGCUGGACUGCAGUGGCAUGAUCUUGGCUCACUGCAACUUCUACAUCCCAGGUUCAAGUGAUUCUCCUGCCUCAGCCUCCCGGGUAGCUGGGAUUACAGCUGUGUGAGUGGCGCAUGACACCACAUCCAGCUGAUCUUUGUAUUUUUAGUAGAGAUGGGGUUUCACUAUGUUGGCCAGGCUGGUCUUGAACUCCUGACCUCAAGUGAUCCGCCUGCCUCGGCCUCCCAAAAUGCUGGGAUUACAGGCCAUUACGCCUCGCCCUAUGUAAUACUUUUUAACUCUCCUGUAUUUCUUUUUAUUGCUUUUAUAUCAGUGUUCAAGCCUAUUGGAAUGAUUUUUAAUCAAAUUUGAUCAUUUAUUUUAUUAAAAUAUCCCUUUCAGCUUUGUGCCAUUUAUAUAUUUGAUAAGUAUUUUUAUCCAAAUUAGCAAUAAAAAUGUUUACUAAGGGCUAUGGAUAAAAAGUCUAAAACUUUUGGCUGGGCGCGGUGGCUCAUGCCUGUAAUCCUAGCACUUUGGGAAGCCAAGGUGGGUGGAUCACUUGAGGUCAGGAGUUCGAGACCAGCCUGGCCGACGUGGUGAAACCCCGUCUCUACUAAAAAUACAAAAAUUACCUGGGUGUCAUGGUGCAUGCCUGUAAUCCUAGCUACUCGGGAAGCUGAGGCAGGAGAAUUGCUUGAACCUGGGAGGUGGAGAUUGUAGUGAGCCGAAGAUUGUGCCAGUGCACUCCAGCCUAGGCGACAGAGGGAGACUUUGUCUC